GUGACAAAAAAUUUCUGAUCUAGUCAUCCAAGAAGGCGCUCAAGGGGACCUUCAAGAAGAACUCGAAGUGGACGCCUAGACACUUGUUUGAGUAUUUACUCUCUUGUUGCAAUAGGACUGGGCUCGGUCGGGUAGGUUGG